rnacentral:misc_RNA from 1 species
CUUUUCCUUCGUCUUCAGCCACAGCCAGAUUCAGGUGCGAUUUAUGAGGUCCUUGCCGAGGCGGUCACGGGCGGUGCCGGAUGCUUCUAAUGUGACCAAGUGGCGAGUCAUUUUGUGGAGAUUUCCGCUAGGACUCCCAACAUUUCCGGUUGUGAUGGUGCGUCCGGUUGUCGACCCUGUGGCAGUCGACGACGCUAGUUUUACAUCGCCAGAAAUCGUGGUGAGCUGCGUGAGUUUAACCAG